AUGCCUAGAAGAGAGCAGCCACUUUGUGACCAUGAAGUUGGAGUCCGCACUACAGAAGAUCUGCCACUGAACAACGUGCACCUGGAAGAGGAGACAGAACACGUAAUCCUAAGAGAAAAAGGAAGGGAAGGGCUGAGCCACGCACGCCCUGUUCCUUCUUUCACAUUUUUCACUGAGGAAGAGCAAGUGAUAAGGUAAGUAGAGAGAGGCUGGGAAUGUUCCAGUGAUGGAUGGAUCUCCUUCCACAGCAGAAGGAAAUCUGUCCUCAACAUGGGGUCACGGAAACAUAAAACAGGUGAGCUCGAUAUUUGGAUGAGGCCCAUAUUGUCCAAAAUUGCCUUAGUAGUUUUGACUAAGACACACUUAAAGUCACGUGAUGUUUGCCUCACAAUCUUCCCUUUUUCUCUGAGUACAUGUUCACCCAACCACUGGGAAUUUUCUUUCAAUUGAUGUAUUUUGGUACCUCUCUAACAAUGGUGGAAAACAAUGCUUUGGUUAUUAUGAGGUUGAACUACAUGAAACUGAUGAUGUGUAAUAUUUACCCACCAAAAGCAUCAAUUUCAUGUAGCUCACCCUAAUAAAUAUAGAUAGAAUAUGAUGCAGAAUAUUUAUAAGAAAAUGAGAAGGAGAAAGGGAAACAAGGAAAGAGAGUGUUUGAAUAUUAAUCAAGUAAUUAAUCCAUGGUAAUUAGUUAUAGAUUUAGAAAAUAAAUUAAGUAUGUAGUGCAAAGUCCAUAAGCACUAUGAAUUUUGGUUGUGGAAUUAGACUGGAGGGCUCCAGGUUUGGCCUUUUGAAUGCUCUGUUUGAUUAGGAACCUUUGAUUCUAAGUGACAGAGUCAACCAACUAGCAGGAGCGGGAGGUAAGGAAAGGCCUGUAUCACUAGGAAAUAAGCUCUUCGAGGAAGGAACUGGGGUCUGUGUGGAGGGAGAACAUGUUGUAUUUAUCCAUGAUUACUCACUAGUUCUGACUUCAAGCUUAUCUUAAACUUUUUCACAGGUGGAAGUAAGAAAGAAAGGGAAGAAAGACUUAAUUUAAGACAGUAGUUAUCAAAGUCUGGUCAGUAAUCCCCUGGGGGUCCCUGAGGCCCUUUCAGAUAUUCUGAGAGUUCAGAAGUCUUCACAAUAAUACAAAUUUGUGAUAUACAUUUUCCAUUGAAAUGUUAUUGGUAAUCCAAAAAUAAUGAAGUAAAACUACUGGUGCUUUAGCACAAAUUGAGGUAGUGACACCAAACUAUAUUAGCAGUUAUUGUAUUCUUUUAUACUAUGCACUUACAUUGAAAAAAAAAAGGCAGCCUGGAGGCAGAGCAAAAUAGCUGAAUUAAAAACCUCUACUGAUUGUCCUCUCUGUGGCAACACCAAAUUGAACAACUAACCACACAAUAAAGCACCUUCAUAGUAACCAAAAGUCAGGUGAAGAGUCACAGUAUCUGGGUUUAAUUUCAUAUCACUGAAAGAGGCGCAGAAGAGAGUA
rnacentral:lncRNA from 1 species